CAUAGUGGAAGUUGGAAGUAAAUCUUCAUCUUGCGAAGUUAUCGUAACAUAGUUAUUUGAUAUUGAUUGCAGCUAAAAUGCGAUGAUUUAUCCUUUUUGUGAUGCGAUUUCAGUAGGUGAAAUAGCCCUAAUGUAUGCAACGUGUAAGCAUGGAAACGUGAUGGACAAUGAACAUGAUGAAGUUUAUGUCAAAUCCAGAUGAAAAUUUAUUGCGUGUCCUGUGAAUAUUUUAGCGAAAAUAUUAUGCUUUAGCCAAAGUGGAAUUUUAAGUCGUAAUCCAAGGAACCAAUAGAUCAUCAGUACAGUCACUACAACCACUCAGAGGGCCCAUGACAGAGUAAACAAAGCAGAAAUUCCUCCAGGAUUAAAGUAUGCUGGUCUUCUCUUUGGACCUAAAUCCAGCUGAUGAAAUUCUAUCUGUUAAAAUAGUGAAAAUUCAAGCCAGGAACUUCUAUUAAUCAGACAGUGGCAUUAAAACCGUUGUGAUGAUGUGCGCCAAAUCCAUUGAUGACAUACAUAUAUACAUUUUAAAGUUAUCUCCCACUUAGAUCAAAAAUGAAAUGGACAGAAUUUAAAGUUUAAAGUGGAUUUCAAGUGAUUUGUGUAUUGUACAUAAUUAGAUAUGAGAUGUAUGUAAAUAGAAAUGCAUCCCUGCUCUUUUGUACAAUCUUACAACUGUUCAUGAUGAUUGUCCAUAUAUAAAUUGAUUUUAUAGAAUAAAUGAAAACAUAUAUUUUACAA